CAAAAUUUUUAUGCAUUAGAUUUACUAAACGUGGCGUGAGAGAGAGCGCGAGACUGAAGCGAAUUGCGUGAGACUCACGCCGAAUGCGUGAGAAUUGAAAGGUCUGGCGUGAGAGCGUGAGACUGAAGCGAAUUGCGUGAGACUCACGCCGAAUGCGUGAGAGUUGAGAGGUCUGCCUUUAGGAUAUUGUUUUUGCCCCCUUGGAUAUCACUAAAACACCUAAUUUCUGCUAUUUUUUUGAAAAAUUUUAGGUAAAAACCCCCUCCCCCAUAGGAUAUCCAGACCCCUCAAUAGGGGGGUGCCUAUAUUAAAUGGAAUGGCCCAUUAUAAAGGAUCCCAUGGACAGGGUCGAGUAUCACAAAAACAUCUUUGGUUGUUGGAUUCUUAAAAGUUACCAGAAAAUUUGCAACCCAGUGUUUUGAAUGUACUAAUGUUAACAUCUGUGCCAUCAGCUGUUACUGACCUCAUUUUUAGAUUAGCAUUUGCAACUUUUUCAAGACACUUUUUACCAGUGUGGCUUGGUCCUUUGCAUUCAUUUUAUCAGCCAAGAGGUAUCCCACUGAACAUUUACAAUGACUUCUGGUGCCUACCAGAAGAAAAACCAAAGCUUCUGUGGCCAAUUUUUCUAAAUGUCCAUUAGGAAUCUCAUUUCCAAAGUCUACAAAUCCGUAGGAGUCUUUUUCUGGAUUCCAAAUGGUUUGUUUUCGGAUAGACAUUGCGUCUAUUACCAAACAGUAAUCUUUGUCAGUAUUUGAUUCGGCUCGGCUCGGCUGAUAAUGCUUACCUCAACCUUCUAAGAAAGGGAUGAGAAUGCCUCAUCAAUAAAGCCUUGAUGUAAUUUUGUGUAAUUCAUCACUUGAGGCACAUCUUGGUCUUUUUUUCUGAAAUUGAAGGAUCAUUUUCAUGUGCUGGACAUGGUCUCACGGUCUGUUCUUCUGUUUAAUUCCUCGUCAUGUGCUGUUAAUGUUGGUGGGUCAGAAUGUACAGGUGAACCAGAUGGAAAAGCAUAUUUUUUGAGUCGACAUGUGUUGUUGGAUGAAGGAGGCAAGAUAUAAUCAGUUGACUGGAAAUGCUUGCUGCCUAUACGACUGUCCUGGUUGACUUGCCAUGGCUUUUUAUUUACUUUUUUGAACAUAAUUCUCCCAACAUAUUAAUUGUAAAGCAUUAUUUUUCAAAGGAAAUCCAUGACAAUAAUAAUAAUUUUUAUGUAAAUUCAGCUUAAUUAUCACCCUUCUAUCUGUCUGCUUGUCUUAUUUAUUCUUGUGUUUGUUUUUUUUUGUUGUAGGUGAUGUACACAUGUCAAAAGUCAAAAUGUGUAAAAUAGGCUUGUUUUUGUUAUAUUUUCUUUGAAGUAUCUAAUAUCACAGGUUUAUGUUUUUUUUUUUGUGUUUUUUUUCUGUGUUGGUGUUGUGUACUCAGGUGAAUAUGUUAUUUGUGAUGUUACUCUGAGUGUAUAUCCACACCGAGCGAGCUUGAAAAAUAUGCCCGGCCACAGAGGGAUUUGAACCUACGACCUUUGGAAUACUAGCCCAAUGCUCUUCCAACUGAGCUACGCGGUCAGGACGGUUCGAGUAAGUGAUAUUUAGGAACUGAAUCUAGUUCCUUCGAUACCAAUGUAUUCUAGUAAUAUGAUAUAUUUUUUUUGGCUAGUAUUCCAAAGGUCGUAGGUUCGAAUCCCACCAUGGCCGGGCAUAUUUUUCAAGCUCGCCCGGUGUGGAUAUACACUCAGAGUAACAUCACAAAUAUCAGGU
rnacentral:tRNA from 1 species